GACGAACGCUGGCGGCGUGCUUAACACAUGCAAGUCGAACGGAAAGGCCCUGCUUUUGUGGGGUGCUCGAGUGGCGAACGGGUGAGUAACACGUGAGUAACCUGCCCUUGACUUUGGGAUAACUUCAGGAAACUGGGGCUAAUACCGGAUAGGAGCUCCUGCUGCAUGGUGGGGGUUGGAAAGUUUCGGCGGUUGGGGAUGGACUCGCGGCUUAUCAGCUUGUUGGUGGGGUAGUGGCUUACCAAGGCUUUGACGGGUAGCCGGCCUGAGAGGGUGACCGGCCACAUCGGGACUGAGAUACGGCCCAGCCUCCUACGGGAGGCAGCAGUGGGGAAUAUUGCACAAUGGGCGGAAGCCUGAUGCAGCAACGCCGCGUGCGGGAUGACGGCCUUCGGGUUGUAAACCGCUUUCGCCUGUGACGAAGCGUGAGUGACGGUAAUGGGUAAAGAAGCACCGGCUAACUACGUG
rnacentral:rRNA from 1 species